UCCGUAGUAAUCGCGUGUCAACAUCACGCGGUGAAUAUGCCCCUGCUCCUUGCACACACCGCCCGUCAAGCCACCCGAGUUGGGCCGGAGUGAUGGUGCCGUUCUUGCGGCGCUAGAACUUCGAUCCAGCAAGGAGGGCUAAGUCGUAAGUGACGUUGCGACUCCGGAGCCGAGAGGCCCCGGAACAAACCUGGCU
rnacentral:ncRNA from 1 species